UAGACAGAUGCUCGGAGUAUAGGGCGCUUAGCUGUUAACUAAGAGUUCGCGGGUUAAAGUCCCGCCUGUCUAG
rnacentral:tRNA from 1 species